rnacentral:rRNA from 1 species
UGGGGAAUAUUGGACAAUGGGCGAAAGCCUGAUCCAGCCACGCCGCGUGUGUGAUGAAGGUCUUCGGAUCGUAAAGCACUGUGGGGAAGGACGAAAAGCAACGGGAAUAAUACCCCGGUGUCAUGACGGUACUUCCUUAGCAAGCACCGGCUAACUCCGUGCCAGCAGCCGCGGUAAUACGGAGGGUGCAAACGUUGCUCGGAAUCAUUGGGCGUAAAGCGCGUGUAGGCGGUCUAUUAAGUCGAGUGUGAAAGCCCUGGGCUCAACCCAGGAAGUGCGCUCGAUACUGCUAGACUAGAGUACGGGAGAGGGUAGCGGAAUUCCCGGUGUAGAGGUGAAAUUCGUAGAUAUCGGGAGGAACACCAGUGGCGAAGGCGGCUGCCUGGACCGAUACUGACGCUGAGACGCGAAAGCGUGGGUAGCAAACAGG